rnacentral:rRNA from 1 species
GACGAACGCUGGCGGCGUGCUUAACACAUGCAAGUCGAACGGAAAGGCCCUGCUCUUGCUCCGUGCUCGAUUGGCGAACGCGUGUGUAACACGUGAGUAACCUCCCCUUGUCUUUCGGAUAUCUUCUGGAAACAGGGGCUAAUACCGCAUAUGAUCUCCUGCUGCAUGGUGGGGGUUGGAAAGUUUCGGCGGUUGUGGCUGGACUCGCGGCAUAUCAGCUUGUUGGUGGGGUAGUGGCGUACCAAGGCUUUGACGGGUAGCCGGCCUGAGAGGGUGACCGGCCACAUUGGGACUGAGACACGGCGCAGACGCCUACGGGAGGCAGCAGUGGGGAAUAUUGUACAAUGGGAGGGAGGCGGAUGCAACGACGCCGUGUGCGGGAUAACGGCCUUUGAGUUGUAAACCGCUUUCGCCUGUGACGAAGCGUGCGUGACGGUAAUAGGUAAAGAAGCACCGGCUAACUACGUG